GAGGCGGAGAACGGAAGUCGGAAAAAAAAAUUUAAACCAAGUUUGAACCACUGCUUCUGUUUGCGGUACUGUGAGAAACCGUCGUUACCGAAAAGGUCUGGAUGCUAAAACAAACUCUGGAGCUGCUUUUUUGUCGAACAGGAGUGAGACUGGGUGCUGAACACACCUGCAGCAUGAAGGUGUCACCUCUUCAUCCAUGAACACACAGUUUCUUCAUACAAUGAAGACAUUCUUUGAAACCAGGACUGAGGCCUCCAGGAUUCAACCUCCAACCAGUAAAUCACAGACAGAAGAGACAGACGUGAAGACAUUUCCAGAAGGUCUUCAGCUGCUGUUGUCUUUGCCUCCGCCUCCUGCAGAGAUAAGAAUGUGUUAAUCACAGAAAUUGAUCAAAUCAAUCAAAAUAUUUUUAUGAUGUACUAUUCUGACAUUUUUUUAAAAUGUUUUUAUGCCUUACAAUAUACUAAGACAAUUUUGACACCUUACUUUACUAUGACAUGCAGCUUAAGACAAAGGAACUAUCCUAAAGUAGCCAUCUUGCUUUUGUUUUCCACAGAGACACACAUUUACACCUGUACACACUGUUUGUGGUUUAGGUUAGAUUUUCAUUUUGGUAUUUUGCUAUUUCAAACAGUGCAAUAUCAGUACUCAAAUCUGUUACUGUGUACAU